rnacentral:rRNA from 1 species
AUGUUUCCUGCAAGCAAUGGCGCGCCCCAGUGGCAGCUUCUCAUCAUCAUCCUCUACGCCGGCUGCUUCCUCCUCUCCUCGCCGCUCGAUGCUCCUUGACAUGUCGCCGCCGCAACGCCGCCACCCAUCUCAUUUAGCUUCAACUUCGCCAACUCAUCCUCAUACGAUGCAAAAUACCUCAAUUUCUCGGGUGACGCGGCCGUGAACGACAGCUUGGUCAACCUUGCAGGUCUAACUGCAGCAGCGAUUGCUGGAGGAGCUUCUGUGUUCCUGCUCGUGGAUUCGUUCAUUCUAUGAUGGUUUAUGUGGAGACGAAGGCGUAAUUCCCUCAUGGUUUCGAGGGCUGGCCCUAAGCAAUUCCGGUACCGGGACUUGGCUUGCCCAACCAACAACUUCUCCAUGGAGAGGAAGCUCGGAAGGGGCAGCUUUGGCACGGUGUACUGGGGAACAGACCUCAAGGUCGGUCAUGAUGGAGGAUAACAAUAGGUUGUUGUCAAGGAGCUCUUGAAGGGGUCCAGGCUAGGAGGAGUCAAGGACCUCCUCACGGAAGUCAACACCAUUAGCAACACCAAGCACAAGAAUCUGGUCAAGUUGCAAGGCUGGUGCGGCAUAAGCAGAUGGGACUUGAUGUGCUGGUGCCUGAAGCAGCUGGAUGAUCAUAGGCUCUUCCUUGUCUACGAAUUGAUGCCUCAGGGUGAUCUCAACCAUCACCUACAUGACAAGGACGCGACAGUUCUGCGAUGGCCAACCAGGUACAAAAUAGUGAAGGGGAUAGGAUCGGCUCUUUUCUACCUCCACGAGUGUUGCUACAUCCUACAUAGAGAUAUCAAGCCAGGCAACAUACUCUUGGAUGAUGAUUACAAUGCCAAGCUCGCCGACUUCGGGCUAUCAAGGAUUGGCAACAAAAACAACUCCUCACUGGUGACCACCACCGUGGGGACCAAUGCGUACAUGGAUCCCAAGUUAAAAAUAUAAGGUGAUGUCAAGUUCGACAGGAGCACCGAUGUCUAUAGCUUCGGGCUCAUUCUAUUGGAGAUCGCGUGUGGGUGGCGCAACUCCAGGAAGGAAGUAUGGGAUCACUAUAAAAGAAGGGAGCAGAUGAAGAUGGUGGAGGCCACUGCUGAUGAGAGGUUGGGAGGCGACUUUGAUAUGGAGCAGAUGCAGCAUGUACUUGUCAUGGGCCUUUGGUGUCCCCUCCCCAACGGUGCAGAGUGACCUUCCAUGCUGGAAGCAAUGCAACUACAGGAAAAAGACGAGCUGCCUCACCUUACAUCGUCAGCCACCACCACUUGUAUUUAG